rnacentral:rRNA from 1 species
CGGCGAACGGGUGAGUAACACGUGAGCAACCUGUCCCGAAGACCGGGAUAACACCGGGAAACCGGUGCUAAUACCGGAUAUCCCCACCAAGCCACAUGGUUCGGUGAGGAAAUGGAUUCCGCUUCGGGAGGGGCUCGCGGGCUAUCAGCUUGUUGGUGGGGUAACGGCCCACCAAGGCAACGACGGCUAGCUGGUCUGAGAGGACGACCAGCCACACUGGGACUGAGACACGGCCCAG